GGGCCUACCCCUAUCCUAGGGGUAGGGAAAGGGAAGAUUACGGGUAGGGUAGGGGUAGGAUACAGUUAGGGUACGGGUAGGGUAGGAGUAGGGUAGAGGUAGGAGAUCGAUACUGAAGCCUAUUUUCUAUUUUUUGUCUGUCUGUUUGCCUUUUUUUUGACCGGGCAUCACGCUGAAACUACAGAAUGAAUUCAAAUGAUACUUAAGACGAUUUGAGACCAUAUUACGUAGAAGGAUAAUAGGAUACUUUUUGUCGCGCAAACAAAAUCAGAAAUGGGUGAAGUAGGGGUAGAAAGUUUGUACGGAAAGUCCUUAAUUUUUCUUGUUUGUAAAUGUAAAAUGAUAAGUGGACUAUUUAUUAGGUAUAAGUUAUAAAACUUGCAAAAUAGAAUGUGAAAUAGGGGUUGAAAGUUGACAUCGAUUUUUACGCGGACGAAGUCGCGGGCGUCCGCUAGUAUUAUUUAAAAU